UUGUCUGUUGACGGUUGAAAAUUUUGCUAGUGGAGUGUUGAUUUUCUGUGCUUUUUUGUGAUAUUUAAAUUAAUAAUUAACUUUUUUUCCGUGUGAAUUAAACUGCACAAUACGAGCUAAAUAUACUUUAAUUUUGGCAGCUAAUUAUAGAAACACCGUGGGAGACCUUAACGAAAGUUCCACCUCGCCUGAAUAUAUCAUUUAAGCCGUCAAUGGGCCUAACGACUGUCAUACUUCAGCCGGGACCGACAACAAGUGAGCCCUGGUGAUGGAGAGGAUGUCCAAGGCGAUAAGAGUGGACAGCAUAGGCAGAGUUUUGAACAGUGGACAAAACGAACUUCGCAGCCACAGAACAACAUGAGUCACUUCUCGUCUGCUUCUGCUACAACGUCAUCUUCUUCUGCUACUACUGAUACUGCUACUGUCGCUGCUUCUACUGUUACUGUUACUGCUUCUACUGCUACUGCUGCUACUGAUACUGCUUCUACUGCCACUGCUGCUGCUUCUUCUUUGCUGAGAAAUCAACACUUUUGGACCUUAGUAGCUGAUUGCUGAUCAUGCAGUAAUAAGGUGUUACAUCUGUGAGUUCACUUAGAUUAUGAUGAUUAUCUUUUUCUCCUCCUUUUCUUCUUCUUCUACUUCUUCUUCUCCUUCUUCUUACUAACAAAUUUUGUAUUGAUAUAGGGAGAUUCUUUAUUGCAUUGUUAUUGCCAAUAUUAGAUUCAUUCAGUAGACUAUAAUAUGAAAUCUUUUACAUGAUAUUCAACAAUUUGGAGGAUUCAAAGCCAGAAUUUUUUUCUCUUAUUCAUGAAAUGGAGGUGCAGUAUUCAAGCAUAGAAAUUUAGUAAUAGUAAAGAGUCGGUGGAGCUAUGCAGAGUUUGAGGCACGUUUAGACGUGUAUACAAUUGUAGAUUAAUUUGUCUGAGAUUCAAGGGUGAUUGAACAUCGAAUAUAUUGCAGCUUAUAGAAAAUGAUUGAAUAAGGAGAUUGAUCAUACUUGUGAUUUUGACAAGUACGGUAUCUCAUGCAAAUUUAUUUUAUAUUUGUAUACAAGUUUUGGCGUACCUUGAAAUGUAUAAUUGGAGAAGUGGAGCUGUGCAUGUAUACUAAGGUAGGUGAUCACCUCAUCGUGGAACACAUGCUGAUUGUGCAGAUCUCCGAAUCACCGCCACCUGUCUAUUUAUUUAUUAUUCAUCUAUAAUAUUACAACGGAACAGUUUACAACUAUUGGACCAGAGAUCUAUAGACAUUAGACAAAGUUUUAUGCAGAACAAUAUUUUUAGGUAGUUGAGACCUUUACACGAAUGUACAAAUUUUCAAAAUGAUUAUAGUGAGGUCCUCGUUAUAAUGGCAGUAUUUGAUUAACAUUGGUGCUGCUAUCCUUGUCUAUCACUCGACAAAGCAGAUAGCGUCAUCCUUUUCUAGCUCUGCAACGUUGCCAGAUCGUUUUGAACAAUGUAUAAAUAUAAUUAACAUACAAAAUAUUUAUUUUUAAUUAUAGAAAAUUCAUUAUUUGAUCAUUGGAAAAUAUAUUGACAAAUCAAAUAUAACCAUUGAUUAUUGUAACCAGGAUAGUUGAUAUUAUAACAUCAGAUAUACUGGUAUCAGCUAUUCUUUAUAGAAGGCAGAGAAUCGGCAACGCUGUUCUCCUAUCUUUCUUCACUGCCAUUAUAACGUGGACCUCACUAUAGAAAAAUUAAGUACCUCUCUACAAAAACAAGAUUUACAGAAAUGAUUAUGAACUGUGAAAUGCUAUUGAUCUAUUAAGGUGCGUACAGAUAUACGCGCCGCGAACAUGAGCAAUUCACUUUUAAUCAGCUGAUUAUAUCUGUUUUUUACAGAAACGGUAAGAUACAGUUA